rnacentral:rRNA from 2 species
AGAGUUUGAUCAUGGCUCAGAAUCAACGCUGGCGGCGUGCCUAACACAUGCAAGUCGAACGCGAGAGGGGCUUCGGCCCCGAUUGAGUGGCGAACGGGUGAGUAACGCGUGGGUGACCUACCUUCGAGUGGGGGAUAACGUUCCGAAAGGGACGCUAAUACCGCAUGACAUCCUGCCUUUGAACAGGUGGUGAUCAAAGCCGGAACCGCAAGGUCUGGCGCUUGAUGAGGGGCCCGCGUCCGAUUAGCUAGUUGGUGGGGUAAUGGCUCACCAAGGCGACGAUCGGUAGCCGGCCUAAGAGGGCGGACGGCCACACUGGGACUGAGACACGGCCCAGACUCCUACGGGAGGCAGCAGUGGGGAAUUGUUCGCAAUGGGCGCAAGCCUGACGACGCAACGCCGCGUGGAGGAUGAAGACUUUCGGGUCGUAAACUCCUGUCGAGCGGGACGAAUGAUCUGCGACCUAAUACGUCGUAGAAGUGACGGUACCGCUAGAGAGCCC